rnacentral:rRNA from 1 species
GCAGUCGAGCGGACCGAAGGGAGCUUGCUCCUUUAGGUUAGCGGCGGACGGGUGAGUAACACGUGGGCAACCUGCCCUGCAGACUGGGAUAACUUCGGGAAACCGGAGCUAAUACCGGAUAACACCGAAAACCGCAUGGUUUUCGGUUGAAAGGCGGCUUUUAGCUGUCACUGCAGGAUGGGCCCGCGGCGCAUUAGCUAGUUGGUAAGGUAACGGCUCACCAAGGCGACGAUGCGUAGCCGACCUGAGAGGGUGACCGGCCACACUGGGACUGAGACACGGCCCAGACUCCUACGGGAGGCAGCAGUGGGGAAUAUUGGACAAUGGGCGAAAGCCUGAUCCAGCAAUGCCGCGUGAGUGAUGAAGGCCUUAGGGUUGUAAAGCUCUUUUACCCGGGAUGAUAAUGACAGUACCGGGAGAAUAAGCUCCGGCUAACUCCGUGCCAGCAGCCGCGGUAAU